rnacentral:sRNA from 1 species
GGAAUCCGCUGUGUGGCUUACAAUAACCAGUCAAACAGAUUGGCUGUUUCACGAACAGAUGGCACUGUGGAAAUUUAUAACUUGUCAGCAAACUACUUUCAGGAGAAAUUUUUCCCAGGUCAUGAGUCUCGGGCUACAGAAGCUCUGUGCUGGGCAGAAGGACAACGACUCUUUAGUGCUGGGCUCAAUGGUGAGAUUAUGGAGUAUGACUUACAGGCGUUAAACAUCAAGUAUGCUAUGGAUGCCUUUGGAGGACCUAUUUGGAGCAUGGCUGCCAGCCCCAGUGGCUCUCAACUUUUGGUUGGCUGUGAAGAUGGAUCUGUGAAACUAUUUCAAAUUACCCCGGACAAAAUCCAGUUUGAAAGAAAUUUUGAUCGGCAGAAAAGUAAGCGUCAUUUUUCGUGGGGCGGUAAAUAGCCUUAACAAGAAAUUAAGUUUCUGUGCCACUGGGGAUGGGAUAUUUUCCCAUGAAUCCAGGUCGCAUCCUGAGUCUCAGCUGGCAUCCCUCUGGUACCCACAUUGCAGCUGGUUCCAUAGACUACAUUAGUGUGUUUGAUGUCAAAUCAGGCAGCGCUGUUCAUAAGAUGAUUGUGGACAGGCAGUAUAUGGGCGCGUCUAAGCGGAAGUGCAUCGUGUGGGGUGUCGCCUUCUUGUCCGAUGGCACUGUCAUAAGUGUGGACUCUGCUGGGA